GAUGAACGCUAGCGGGAGGCUUAAUACAUGCAAGUCGAAGGACCUUUUCGGAGGGACUGGCGCACGGGUGAGUAACGCGUACACUACCUACCUUUAGCAGGGGGACAGCCUUUGGAAACGGAGAUUAAUACCCCAUAGUACCGAGAGGUUAAAGCGUUAGCGGCUAAAGAUGGGUGUGCGUGUCAUUAGAUAGUUGGUGAGGUAACGGCUCACCAAGUCGACGAUGACUAGGGGGCGUGAGAGCGUGAUCCCCCACACGGGUACUGAGACACGGACCCGACUCCUACGGGAGGCAGCAGUAAGGAAUAUUGGUCAAUGGGCGGAAGCCUGAACCAGCCAUCCCGCGUGUAGGAUGACUGCCCUAUGGGUUGUAAACUACUUUUGUACGAGAAGAAACGCCUCCAUUUAUGGGGGUUUGACGGUAUCGUAAGAAUAAGCACCGGCUAACUCCG
rnacentral:rRNA from 1 species